CAUUUGCAGUGCUAACAUGGCUGUACGGAGAUAGUUUCACUUACUACCAUCAUACUAUAUUAGAUCCACUUAAACAUUAUAGCAGGAAAUUCCACAUCGACAAGAUACGUUCUAAAAUUCCCGGAAGAAAUGGUCACGUGUUUAGUGACGUUGUCACCAACAUUAAAACAGAUAAAAUAGUGAUUACUUAGCAACAAUUCGAAUUUGCUUUGGGAAAAAGCAAUGAGUACUGGCGAGCUGAAGUAUGGUGCAAGAACCCGUGGGCAGAGUUAAGUGAUACUGAUAGUGAUGAACGACCCCAAGAAGUGUAGUGAUCGACGACAGACGGGACCUGGGUUACAAAGUUCUAUACAAACUCAGCAGGAAAAUUUCACCGGAAGAAUGCAACAGGACCAUGUAUACUAUGACCACAUACAGCUAGAGACGCGGAUUAAUGGAAGGAAGCGGCUGUUAUUUCCUUCGACAUAUCCACUAACUUUUCAUCAUAAACUGAUGAUCCUGGACUCUGCAUGGCUGGGGAGCCUUGACAGGAGAGGUUUCCCCAAGACGCCGUAGACAUAUUAACAGGCGAGACAGCUGUUGGGGGGCUCAUGGGCGAUGAGCCACGUAAUGUAGCAUUGAACAAAGAUGAGAGAGAGACUGACUUGUUAGCAACUGGUGUGGAGUUCAAUUUCUUGGGUGUUGCUGGUUUAAAUCCAACAUCUAAAAAGGAAUUUAUUGACAUAAGCCCAAUGUCAAUUUAAUACUGUACUUGCAGUAUUUAAUAUUUAUGAAUAUUAAGUAUGUUGAGGAAUAGUUGAGAUUAUGCUUAAUCCUCCAUGUUUGUUCCAAAGAUACAAAAUCAACCACAUAUUUGCUGCCAUAGGAGACACCUAUUAUACAAGGAUAUUUCGAGGAUUUUUUUUAUAAUACAGUAUACUUAUUGCAAGUGAUUUCAAAGUGCAACUUCCCCAUUUCCAUGCUCUUUUGUGCAAGAAAACAAGCUUAAAGUUAAUGUUAAAACAAUGGAUCCUAUUUGCCAUAACAAAUUAAUAUUAACAUAAGCUAACAUUAUUAUAAAACAUAACAUCAAAUGGUAUAUACCUGUUUCAUUUAUAGAGAGAAGGGACCGUUGCUUGUCAUUCACUUCUAUGGUACUAAGCAUGAAAAAGUUUAUUGCAUAGCUUAAAGUGAGCUUGACUAAGGCAGCAGUUGCUACGACACAGAGGACCAGGCAUGUCCACCACCACAACUUGCUCCGACCACUCAGGUUCCCACCGUCUUUCCUGAAGACAAGCACCAUUCAUUACAUUACUGUACUGCCAACUCAUCCUCUCGCCUAAUACCUCUCAUUUCUUAACAAUUUACCAAUCCGUUAAAAAUAUGACCUAUUCAUAAAUAUUAAAGCACUGCAUGAUUCA